GGAUCAAAUUGUUGGUCGUGCCUCGGUACGCACUGGUAUUAUUAGUUCCUACCUUCUGAAGAACCGCGAUGUCAUUAAUUUGGUGUUGCGGGGAAUUUGGACUGUUACUUUGAAAAAAUUAGAGUGUUUAAAGCAAGCUAACGCUUGAAUACAUUAGCAUGGAAUAAUGAAAUAGGACGUUCGAUCCUAUUUUGUUGGUUUCUAGAGUCGCCGUA
rnacentral:rRNA from 1 species